GACGAACGCUGGCGGCGUGCUUAACACAUGCAAGUCGAACGCUGAAGCCCGCUUGCGGGUGGAUGAGUGGCGAACGGGUGAGUAACACGUGAGUAACCUGCCCUUCACUUUGGGAUAACCUUCGGAAACGGGGGCUAAUACUGGAUAUGACUCAUGGCCGCAUGGUUGUGGGUGGAAAGAUUCUUUGGUGGGGGAUGGGCUCGCGGCCUAUCAGCUUGUUGGUGGGGUGAUGGCCUACCAAGGCGACGACGGGUAGCCGGCCUGAGAGGGCGACCGGCCACACUGGGACUGAGACACGGCCCCAGACUCCUACGGGAGGCAGCAGUGGGGAAUAUUGCACAAUGGGCGCAAGCCUGAUGCAGCGACGCCGCGUGGGGGAUGACGGCCUUCGGUU
rnacentral:rRNA from 1 species